rnacentral:lncRNA from 1 species
CGUGGCCUUACGGCGGGCGCACCAAUGGCGGGGAAACUGAGGCCGAAGCGAAAGUGGAGGCAAUACAAKCCUGUGAAGGGGAAGAACAAAACGUAAGUGAAUGUAGAACUGCAUUGAAGAAAAAAUUUGAGAAGUAUUUGCCAAGUCGUGGUCAUUGUCUUGGUGAGAGCCACAUAUGCCACCUCCAAAGGGAAAGCCGUCCUCGCAGCCACGGCAGUGACAAGGAGUAAGGAGACACAACCCUCUGUCCCUGCAGAGUCUGGGCCAUCUGUAUGCAGUGGGAAGUCAGUUGGCUGGAGGCUUUCUGAAAGCUGGAGUUGCUCCAUCAACAGAAAUURUUGAAAGAUGUUUCUUUGAGUUCAGUCCUGUAAGUCAAGUGGGACUUCAGAUGAU